rnacentral:rRNA from 1 species
UACGGAGGGGGCUAGCGUUGUUCGGAAUUACUGGGCGUAAAGCGCACGUAGGCGGAUCAGCAAGUUAGGGGUGAAAUCCCGGGGCUCAACCCCGGAACUGCCUUUAAGACUGCAUCGCUUGAAUCCAGGAGAGGUGAGUGGAAUUCCGAGUGUAGAGGUGAAAUUCGUAGAUAUUCGGAAGAACACCAGUGGCGAAGGCGGCUCACUGGACUGGUAUUGACGCUGAGGUGGCGAAAGCGUGGGGAGCAAACAGG